CCUUCCAUGACCUUUCCCAUUUCCUCCACCUCCUCCUCCACCUCCCCCACCUGAACCACCACCUCCACCUCCACCUCCACCCCCACCACCUCCAUUGCCUACUCCACCACCAACACCUCCUCCAUUUCUGCUAUUAAAUUUCCUUCCGGCUAAUACUUUAUCAUAUGAGUUUAUCUUUCUUCCACCAACAUCUUCCACCAAACUAUGGUUUCCAUGGCCAACUUCAGGAGCUAUAGUGAUGGAGUUGGUGCCAUUCUUCAUCACUUGAGAAUCAUUUCUCCCAUUAACCAAACAAGGACUUAAGAUCACUACUACAACAAUAAGCACUUCAAACACUCUUUUCAUCAUCUCCAUGUGUUGCUAAUGAAUGGAGAUGCAUGAUACUUGCAAUAUCAUACCACCCUUUUAUACCCAUCUCAUUCAAGUGCCACACUUCAACACAAAAUUUGGACCAUAUAAC
rnacentral:lncRNA from 1 species